rfam:Oryza meridionalis cultivar OR44 (W2112) chromosome 11, whole genome shotgun sequence.
UUUAAGUGCAACCAUGAGUUUUUAUACCUAAUUUUAAUCGUUCGUCUUAUUUGAAUUUUUUUUUCUAAUUAUUAUUUUUACUGUUAUAAGAUGAUAAAACAUGAAUAGUACUUCAUGCGCGACAUAUGUUUUUAUUUUUUUAAAAAAAAUAAAUAAGAUGGAUGAUAAAAGUUAGUCACAUAAAAUUAUGAUUGCACUUGAA